GAUGAACGCUGGCGGCGUGCCUAAUACAUGCAAGUCGAGCGAACGGACGAGAAGCUUGCUUCUCUGAUGUUAGCGGCGGACGGGUGAGUAACACGUGGAUAACCUACCUAUAAGACUGGGAUAACUUCGGGAAACCGGAGCUAAUACCGGAUAAUAUUUUGAACCGCAUGGUUCAAAAGUGAAAGACGGUCUUGCUGUCACUUAUAGAUGUAUCCGCGCUGCAUUAGCUAGUUGGUAAGGUAACGGCUUACCAAGGCAACGAUGCAUAGCCGACCUGAGAGGGUGAUCGGCCACACUGGAACUGAGACACGGUCCAGACUCCUACGGGAGGCAGCAGUAGGGAAUAUUCCGCAAUGGGCGAAAGCCUGACGGAGCAACGCCGCGUGAGUGAUGAAGGUCUUCGGAUCGUAAAACUCUGUUAUUAGGGAAGAACAUAUGUGUAAGUAACUGUGCACAUCUUGACGGUACCUAAUCAGAAAGCCACGGCUAACUACGUG
rnacentral:rRNA from 1 species